AGCGAACGCUGGCGGCAGGCCUAACACAUGCAAGUCGAACGAACCCUUCGGGGUUAGUGGCGGACGGGUGAGUAACACGUGGGAACGUGCCUUUAGGUUCGGAAUAACUCAGGGAAACUUGUGCUAAUACCGAAUGUGCCCUUCGGGGGAAAGAUUUAUCGCCUUUAGAGCGGCCCGCGUCUGAUUAGCUAGUUGGUGAGGUAAUGGCUCACCAAGGCUACGAUCAGUGGCUGGUCUGAGAGGAUGACCAGCCACAUUGGGACUGGGACACGGCCCAAACUCCUACGGGAGGCAGCAGUGGGGAAUCUUGCGAAAUGGGCGAAAGCCUGACGCAGCCAUGCCGCGUGGAUGAUGAAGGUCUUAGGAUUGUAAAAUCCUUUCACCGGUGAAGAUAAUGACUGUAGCCGGAGAAGAAGCCCCGGCUAACUUCGUGCCAGCCGCCGCAGUAAUAC
rnacentral:rRNA from 1 species